rnacentral:tRNA from 1 species
GGGGCGGUAGCUCAGCCCGGGAGAGCAACCGGCUGAAGACCGGUGUGUCGUGGGUUCAAAUCCCACUCGCCCCA